rnacentral:rRNA from 1 species
AUGGUGAAGUGGGCUGACAUCUGCCUGCCGAAGGACCGAGGUGGCCUGGGCAUCCAUGCGUCUCGCCGGAUGAACGUUGCGCUGAUGCUGCGUUGGGUUUGGCGGAUCUUGAGGGGAGAUGGGGGUUUGUGGCUGCAGCUGAUUGAGGCCAAGUACUUGCAGGGUCAACCCCUCUUUGCUUGCUCUCUCUCGAUCGGGUCCCAGUUCUGGAAAUCUAUUUAG